rnacentral:rRNA from 1 species
GACGAACGCUGGCGGCGUGCUUAACACAUGCAAGUCGAACGGAAAGGCCCUGCUUUUGUGGGGUGCUCGAGUGGCGAACGGGUGAGUAACACGUGAGUAACCUGCCCUUGACUUUGGGAUAACUUCAGGAAACUGGGGCUAAUACCGGAUAGGAGCUCCUGCCGCAUGGUGGGGGUUGGAAAGUUUCGGCGAUUGGGGAUGGACUCGCGGCUUAUCAGCUUGUUGGUGGGGUAGUGGCUUACCAAGGCUUUGACGGGUAGCCGGCCUGAGAGGGUGACCGGCCACAUUGGGACUGAGAUACGGCCCAGACUCCUACGGGAGGCAGCAGUGGGGAAUAUUGCACAAUGGGCGGAAGCCUGAUGCAGCAACGCCGCGUGCGGGAUGACGGCCUUCGGGUUGUAAACCGCUUUCGCCUGUGACGAAGCGUGAGUGACGGUAAUGGGUAAAGAAGCACCGGCUAACUACGUG